rfam:Schistosoma haematobium scaffold75_5, whole genome shotgun sequence.
ACCCAGCUGACGAUUCCCAAACAGGACGAAAUGCGCAUCCUGGAU